ACAUUGGACUCAUCUCUCCAGGACGGUAGCGCUCCAGGAAAAAUUCCCUACUCAAGGGGAACCGAGAGCCUGGAGGAUCUCUUAGAAAGAAACUGGUUCAUACCUUGCCAGCUGCAUCUCCCUUGCUUCUUCCAGGACAGAAUGGGUUGAAAGAGCCAGCAGGAGCUGACAAGCCUCAUCAACUAAGGUGGAAAAGUAACAAAGAGCUUGAAGACUUUCGUGCAUCCCAGGCCCUGGAUGGAGGCAGGCGGCUUCAGACAGCAUCAGACAGAGAACCAAGAAAGCCGAGGGGCAGCCGGAAGGUGCCUGUGGCUGCCGAGCCCAGUUUUCCAGAGCUCUUGGCCAUCACCUGGGAAGGAAGCCCUGCCUUGUCUUCCACGGACACCACCAAGGCCAACCCAGAGCUGCCCAUUAUAGGAGAGAAUGACUCUGCUGCUUCUUCAUGUUGCUGUGAGGGUAGCCCUGAAAAUCAUGGAACGAGGCAUUAGAGAUUUGUCACUCACUCUUAUUCAGUGAUGAACCCAGAGUCCAUGGAAGUAAAGGCUUAUCACUCCCAGGCAUGGGGUCAAAGCCAUGGCCAGUUGGUAGUUUUCUUUCUCCACCCAUUAUUCAAUUUACCUCGUCUUUCUAAAAGUUAUGUAAGGAAAGAGAACGUGGCUCC